GACGAACGCUGGCGGCGUGCUUAACACAUGCAAGUCGAACGGAAAGGCCCUGCUUUUGUGGGGUGCUCGAGUGGCGAACGGGUGAGUAACACGUGAGUAACCUGCCCUUGACUUUGGGAUAACUUCAGGAAACUGGGGCUAAUACCGGAUAGGAGCUCCUGCUGCAUGGUGGGGGUUGGAAAGUUUCGGCGGUAGGGGAUGGACUAGCGGGUUAUGGGCUUGUUGGUGGGGUAGUGGCUUACCCAGUCUGUGACGGGUAGCCGGCAUGAGAGGGUGGACGGCCACAAUGGGACUGAGAUACGGACCAGACUGCUACGGGAGGCAGCAGUGGGGAAUAUUGCACAAUGGGCGGAAGCCUGAUGCAGCGACGCCGCGUGCGGGAUGACGGCCUUCGGGUUGUAAACCGCUUUCGCCUGUGACGAAGCGUGAGUGACGGUAAUGGGUGAAGAAGCACCGGCUAACUUCGUG
rnacentral:rRNA from 1 species